UACUAGGCUAGGCGAAGUGUUUUACCUAGUUCCUUAAACCGCGAUUUCCCUACUGCUGAAUAAAGAUGCUAGGAAUCUCUUCAGCUAGUAGGGAGUUUUUAAGCUUGUUUUUUUCGAUACAGGGUUUCUGUGUGUUGUUCUGACUGUGCUGGAACUGAUUGUAGACCAAAGGGGCUACAAACCCGCCUGCCUAAUGCCUCCCAGAUGCUGGGAUUUAAGGCGGUUACCACCACACGCUGCUGCUUUUUAAAAAACUAAACAGAUGGCAACUAACAAGCCUUCGAGCCUGCUAGAGGCCCCAGUUGGUACGGUAAUACUUAUUCACCAAGCUGGUCAUCGACGAGAGUGAGGAUAUCCUAGACGGAGCAAGAAUGGGCAGAGGCUGAAGAACCUACUAUGAAGCUUACUUUUCAAGCACAGAAAAUUUGGUCUACAUAGCCUCUUUUACAAGGUGACAGUUUUUUUUAACCUUAAAGUAGAGGAAAAUGAAAAAUGGACAAGAAAACUUUGGAGAUAAAAUGCAUUGGCUCCUAGUGUCCAGAAAGACAUGCACGGAAAGAACGCAGAGUUAGCUAAAGAAAUACCACAGUUUAUUGAAGACUACAAAUAUUUUGUUACAAGUUGGAACUACAUGCCUUCCAGAAAUCAAAAGCAACAGCAGGUGUGUGCAUUGAUGCUUCGGAGGUGCUGCAUGGCUCGAACUCGAAAUGGAACUACAGAGAAGAGUCACACCAUCCUCACUUUGUGGAGAAGAUCCUUCAGUCCCACUUACCGGUUUCUGCUGAGCCGGCUGAGGGCUGGAGGACUGGUUGUCUGAAGACCCCGGAGACAUCUGUGGAGC